rnacentral:rRNA from 1 species
GAUGAACGCUGGCGGCGUGCCUAAUACAUGCAAGUCGAGCGAACAGACGAGGAGCUUGCUUUUCUGAUGUUAGCGGCGGACGGGUGAGUAACACGUGGAUAACCUACCUAUAAGACUGGGAUAACUUCGGGAAACCGGAGCUAAUACCGGAUAAUAUUUUGAACCGCAUGGUUCAAUAGUGAAAGACGGUUUUGCUGUCACUUAUAGAUGGAUCCGCGCUGCAUUAGCUAGUUGGUAAGGUAACGGCUUACCAAGGCAACGAUGCAUAGCCGACCUGAGAGGGUGAUCGGCCACACUGGAACUGAGACACGGUCCAGACUCCUACGGGAGGCAGCAGUAGGGAAUCUUCCGCAAUGGGCGAAAGCCUGACGGAGCAACGCCGCGUGAGUGAUGAAGGUCUUCGGAUCGUAAAACUCUGUUAUUAGGGAAGAACAAAUGUGUAAGUAACUGUGCACAUCUUGACGGUACCUAAUCAGAAAGCCACGGCUAACUACGUG